CGCAGAUACCUCAAGGUGAAGUUAUCCAUUAAUUUUCCGUUUAGGUAUAGAAACAGAUCAAGCAAUAAAGAUAUAAAUCAAAUAAGACUCUCGCAAAAAUAAAUAAUUUUGUAUUGGUAGUGCUAUGGUGAUUCAAGUUCCGAUUAUAACCUUCAUUCCGGUUGCCGUAUAGGUAACUUUAAAAUGGAGUAGUUGAGACUCUAGAUGGCGUCAAUAUGACUAGAGGAAAUAUUUCGAUAGAACAGUAAUCCGUGUUUGCGGUUGUUGGCGGGAUAUAAAUAAAAAGAAUGCUUUGGUUUGUGAAUUAAUCUCGGUUUUUCUUAAUAUGGUGUUUCUAAAUGUGAUAAAAAUUCAGUUAUUAAUUUAGUGUAAAUAUAUAGUGAGUCAACAAUGAAGUUCUUUUAGUUCUACUGCCGAUUUAAACACGAUAUAAUUUGAAACAGAAUUAAUACUUUCCAAGGUCAGCUUCGACAUCGGUAGAAACUGAUGCUUUGGGGAUAGUGGGUUCUGUGGUUCCUGUUUGCCUGGAGACCUCGGGGGGAGGAUUUGUCCUUGUCCUUGGAAUCUCGCCAGGUUUUUCAGGAUACCUGAGGUACUUCCGACUUGGAUUAAGCUCAUAAAACUGAGUCGUCCUUUGUACCGGCUCCAGGACGAUGAGGGCGGCUGCUGGACCUUGUCAUCAAUGACUUCUUUAGGAAUUCUUGAGGAUUUUUUUUUUAUUCUAUUCUAUUGAAGAAAAUGAACACUUUUGCAAUACAUUGUCAAUUUUAUUAUUAAUUUUUUCUCUUGUAUUUAUUUAGGGUACGUAAUUUUCCCGUGUAUUUGAUUUUUUACAAUAAAUUCGCCGAACUUUCCGAUGGUAUCUUCGUAUGUUGUGGUACCAGUUUGCA